UUUGUUUCCAGGUCCUGUUGUGCUCUCCAGGCAGCUCUCCAGGCACUGCAGCCUUCCAGGAAGCUCCUGGCUCAGCCUUCCCGUUCCCGAGCCUUCAGAACCGGAGCAGGGCCCCAAAAAACCCAUGUCCUCCUCCGAGCCCAUCCUGGACCGCAAGGGAGACACGGCGGAAGCACUUCCAGACAGCCUGGGAGGAAGAGGGGAGCAGAGCUCCUGCCCACCACGGGACACUCCAGGGGCUGGACAAUCCCUGGAACACACGGAACCAACGCCAGCAGGUACCAGUGCCCAGCUCUCCUCCAGCCCAGGGAGCUGCACCUCCCCUCCAAGGAACCCAGCCCUCAGAAAAAUCCCUGAAGUCCCUGACCCCACCUUGCCUCCUCCUGGCAGCUCCUGU